AGCAUGUGGUUAAUUCGAAGCAACGCGAAGAACCUUACCAGGCCUUGACAUGCAGAGAACUUUCCAGAGAUGGAUUGGUGCCUUCGGGAACUCUGACACAGGUGCUGCAUGGCUGUCGUCAGCUCGUGUCGUGAGAUGUUGGGUUAAGUCCCGUAACGAGCGCAACCCUUGUCCUUAGUUACCAGCACGUUAAGGUGGGCACUCUAAGGAGACUGCCGGUGACAAACCGGAGGAAGGUGGGGAUGACGUCGAGUCAUCAUGGCCCUUACGGCCUGGGCUACACACGUGCUACAAUGGUCGGUACAAAGGGUUGCCAAGCCGCGAGGUGGAGCUAAUCCCAUAAAACCGAUCGUAGUCCGGAUCGCAGUCUGCAACUCGACUGCGUGAAGUCGGAAUCGCUAGUAAUCGUGGAUCAGCCAAGCCGCGGUGAAUACGUUCCCGGGCCUU
rnacentral:rRNA from 1 species